AACGAACGCUGGCGGUGUGCCUCAUACAUGCAAGUCGUACGCGAAUCCUGCCGCAAGGCAGGGUUUGAGUGGCAAACGGGUGCGUAACACGUAGGUAAUCUUCCUUUGAGUUGGGGAUAAGCCCUCGAAAGGGGGUCUAAUACCGAAUAACACUUCGGGCCGGCAUCGGCCUGAAAUUAAAGAUGGCCUCUGCUUGCAAGCUAUCGCUCGGAGAUGAGCCUGCGGCCGAUUAGUUAGUUGGCGGGAUAAAAGCCCACCAAGACUUCGAUCGGUAGCCGGUCUGAGAGGAUGUCCGGCCACACUGGGACUGAGAUACGGCCCAGACUCCUACGGGAGGCAGCAGUAGGGAAUAUUGCGCAAUGGCCGCAAGGCUGAC
rnacentral:rRNA from 1 species